AUCAUGGCUCAGGACGAACGCUGGCGGCACGCUUAAAACAUGCAAGUCGAACGUGAAGCCCGGGCUUGCCCGGGUGGAAAGUGGCGAACGGGUGCGUAACACGUGAGCAACCUGCCCCGAAGACUGGGAUAACACCGGGAAACCGGUGCUAAUACCGGAUGCCUUCACCACGUCGCAUGGCGAGGUGAAGAAAUGGAUUCCGCUUCGGGAUGGGCUCGCGGCCUAUCAGCUUGUUGGUGGGGUAAUGGCCUACCAAGGCAACGACGGGUAGCUGGUCUGAGAGGAUGUCCAGCCACACUGGGACUGAGACACGGCCCAGACUCCUACGGGAGGCAGCAGUUAGGAAUCUUGCGCAAUGGGCGAAAGCCUGACGCAGCGAUGCCGCGUGCGGGAUGAAGGCCUUCGGGUCGUAAACCGCUUUCAGCAGGGACGAUAAUGACGGUACCUGCAGAAGAAGCCCCGGCCAACUACGUGCCAGCAGCCGCGGUAAUACGUAGGGGGCGAGCGUUGUCCGGAUUUAUUGGGCGUAAAGAGCUCGUAGGCGGUUUGGUAAGUCGGGUGUGAAAUCUCCACGCUCAACGUGGAGGGGCCACUCGAUACUGCCAUGACUCGAGUCCGGUAGAGGAGUGUGGAAUUCCCGGUGUAGCGGUGAAAUGCGCAGAUAUCGGGGGGAACACCCGUAGCGAAGGCGGCACUCUGGGCCGGAACUGACGCUGAGGAGCGAAAACGUGGGGAGCAAACAGGAUUAGAUACCCUGGUAGUCCACGCCGUAAACGUUGGGCACUAGGUGUGGGGAUCUAUCGACGGUUUCCGUGCCGAAGCUAACGCAUUAAGUGCCCCGCCUGGGGAGUACGGCCGCAAGGCUAAAACUCAAAU
rnacentral:rRNA from 1 species